CUGGCUUCUACCGGUAGGUGACAGGGCAGUGUUCCCAGCAGUGGGACAAGAGGCACUGGCACCAGGCCAUGAGCCAUGCAUUCCUAGCUCUGCAGGGCAUGCAUGCCACGCGGACUGUGACAGUGAGCUCUUCCAGGCCCCCAGUGAGCCUGAGAGGGGGUCUGGGAAGAGUCAAGAGACACCCAGACAGUGCCAUGUGGCAGUGAAGCCUCUGGUCCCAAUCUGCCAGGGUGCAAAGCCCCAGGACUGCUGGUGGGAUGUUGGCACUACCCCGUUUUCCUUUUCCAGCUACAACAGAAUGGCAGAGAGGAAAGGACCCUCCGGGAUCUUCCAGUUCAGCCAGCCCAUUUUACAGAGGUGGAGACUGAGGCCAGAGGUUGUGUGCCAGUGGCAGGGGGAACUGCUGCCACAAGCUCUAGUGCGGGCUGUGGCCAGAGUCAGGCCUGGUCCACGUGUCUCUCAUCCCAGGGCCCAGGGCAGGAGUGCAAGGUGGUAGGAGGAACUUGCAACGCCUCUUAAAGCCUCCACUGGAAUCCAUCACGUUGUCACACGGGCCCACAUUUUGGGGGAAAAUAAAGUCACGCAGUCAAGUCAACAUCAACUGACAGAGCUGGUGAUGAAUAGUUGCUAAACAAAGAUGCAAUUUACUACCAGGAUUUAGGGAACUGUGAGUCCAGGGGAGUUCAACCGUUCUCAGAAGGGGCCUUUCCAACCACCUUGGGGCACAGGGGAGGAGGGAAAGAAAGGAGUCCAAAUGGACAGGGUUCUAAGAUUCCUGCCUUCAACACCACCACCUCCGCUUUAUCCAUUGGGUUGCCAUGUGUGUUUUCACCUCAAAGCUGCUUUAAAAAAUGGAAAAAAAAAUGACCUGAUAUUAACACAAUUCUCUCAUAUUACACAGAUGAAGAUCAAGACCUCAAAAGGAGAUAGGCAUGAAUAGGCCUAUGACAGGCCUAU
rnacentral:lncRNA from 10 species